rnacentral:rRNA from 1 species
UACGUAGGGUGCAAGCGUUAAUCGGAAUUACUGGGCGUAAAGCGUGCGCAGGCGGUUUUGUAAGUCUGUCGUGAAAGCCCCGGGCUCAACCUGGGAAUGGCAAUGGAAACUGGCGGGCUAGAGUGUGGCAGAGGGGGGUGGAAUUCCGCGUGUAGCAGUGAAAUGCGUAGAGAUGCGGAGGAACACCGAUGGCGAAGGCAGCCCCCUGGGCUAGCACUGACGCUCAGGCACGAAAGCGUGGGGAGCAAACAGG